AUGCGCUGAUGUAAUAUCGACACGAAACGGUUUCAACGAUACCGGUGCUGGGCUGGAUGCAACAAAGUUCAGCUGUUUGUCAGCCCGAGAUUAAUUGCUACACUGCGGGACAUGGUAGGUGUCGACUACAUCCACGCCAUCGUGCACGCGUGACCUUGAGGAAAGCUGGAAGGAAAAAUGAUGCUUCGCUUCAUUCUCUUGUCGUGCGAAAGCAGAAUCAAAGCUGACAGCUGUCAAAAAAAGGGUUUCCAUGGUGAUGAGCGGAGCAACUUUGUCUCUAAUUAAAUAACGUUCCCUACGCGAUGCGAUCGAUGUUCUCGUGCGAUCGGCUAUCAUUAUUUUUGCUCUAAUGAGGCAAAUCGAAGACGACACUGGGACGCUGAGGAUGAAGUUCUAGCGAGUGGGAGAAGAAACCAGAACACAACACCGGCUUCCAAGGCUCACCGCGGAGGUGUUAGAUGGAUAAAUAAUGGCACCCGUCAAACGAUCUGUCAGAGGGAUCUGCAAAUGAAAAAAAAAAACACA